GGCCCUGGAACCUCCCAGGUGUUACCUUCUUUUGGUUUUGUUCCAUGGAAAGUUCCAAGUACAUCUGAAGGAUCCCUUUCCCAUAUACAAGUCUCACAUUGCUCAGUGAGUCCUGCUCACCUGUGAAGCAGAACAAAGCGCCCUGCAUAGUGAAGAGAGACAAGGCAGUAGCAAAGGAUCCAGGGUUUGUUGACAUUCAGUGCUGUGACUGUGGACUUCUUGUAGGAGGAAUGGGAAUGCUUCAGCCUUGCUGAUGGGGCUUUCUGCAGAGAUCUGUUGGAGAA